AUUUUAUCAAUAACAUAAUAUUUAAAUUAUAAUUUUUAUGAAUUUCUAUGUCCACAAAGUUUUUACUACUUGAAAUAAUAAUUAUAAUUAUUUAUUACACAAAUAGUAGUUUGAUAAUAGUAGUAUCAUUCUUCCAUUGUUGUUUGUAAUUAUCAUCCAUUAUAAUAUUGUAGUUGUUAGAUAAUUUCAAGUCAUACAUUUUAGGGU
rnacentral:lncRNA from 1 species